rnacentral:rRNA from 1 species
GCCUGCCUACGGGACGCAGCAGUGGGGAAUAUUGCACAAUGGGGGAAACCCUGAUGCAGCAACGCCGCGUGAAGGAAGACGGUUUUCGGAUUGUAAACUUCUGUUCUUAGUGAAGAAAAAUGACGGUAGCUAAGGAGCAAGCCACGGCUAACUACGUGCCAGCAGCCGCGGUAAUACGGAGGGUGCAAGCGUUACUCGGAAUCACUGGGCGUAAAGAGCGAGUAGGCGGGUGGUCAAGUCAGGUGGGAAAUC